rnacentral:lncRNA from 1 species
UGGUAAAUAAUGCUUCUUGCAAGGGAUAUGAAAGGUGGACGGCUGGAAUCGAAGGACGGCGGGGUGUAGGAGUCGAUCAGGGCUGUUAAAUUCGGGUCGGAACUCCGCAAGUGUUGGAGGGCGAGAUUGAUUUCGGAUUGGGAGGUUAGUGGGAUUAGGGUUUUGGGGAGCGCGGGGGAGGAGGGAGAGGGCUUGGCGGCGUUGGGGGUGUUGGAUACUUUUAAGAUUUUGCGGGGUCGGAAUGGGAUUUUGGAGGAGACGGAAGGGUUUUCGGAAAUUUGGGUUUGUAUUUGAGGUUUCGCACGCUUGGCCAUUACGGUGGCGAUGAUGGU